rnacentral:ncRNA from 20 species
AAAAAAAGUCCAUUCUUUGGUGCCCCCAAGGGGAGAAUAGGGAAACCGGUGCGAUUCCGGUGCGGACCCACCACUGUGUAGGAUGAGCCUGAACCAUAACCACCGGCCAGACCGGGAAGGGGUAGCGGCGUUUGAAUCCAAGCCAGGAGACCUGCCAGGAAUGAAGAAAGCCUU